UUUUAUAUAGCUUAUGGAGAGUGUAGUUGUGAAGAAACUAAGGAGUUUUAUACUGU
rnacentral:tRNA from 1 species